GCAGCUGUGGCCGAGUGGUUAAGGCGAUGGACUAGAAAUCUAUUGGAGUCUCCCCGCGUAGGUUCGAAUCCUACCGGCUGCG
rnacentral:tRNA from 1 species